rnacentral:rRNA from 1 species
UACGUAGGGACCAAGCGUUGUUCGGAUUUACUGGGCGUAAAGGGCGCGUAGGCGGCUUGACAAGUCACUUGUGAAAUCUCCGGGCUUAACUCGGAACGGCCAAGUGAAACUGUCAUGCUAGAGUGCAGAAGGGGCAAUCGGGAAUUCUUGGUGUAGCGGUGAAAUGCGUAGAUAAUCAAGAGGAACACCUGAGGUGAAGACGGGUUGCUGGGCUGACACGUGACGCUGAGGCGCGAAAGCCAGGGGAGCAAACAGG